rnacentral:rRNA from 1 species
AAAACAUGUCCUUUAAUUAUUUAUUUAAGGUCUCGCCUGCCCAAUGAUUAAUUUUAUUGAAUGGCCGCGGUAUUUUGACUGCGCGAAGGUAGCGUAAUUAUUUGUCUUUUAAUUGAAGGCCAGUAUGAACGGUUGGACGAGGUAUAACCUUUCUUUAAUUUAAUUAUUUUGAAUUUAAUAUUUUAGUUAAAAAGCUAAAAUAAUUUUGAGGGACGAGAAGACCCUAUAGAUCUUAAUAUUUAAAUUUAUGAUCGUCAAUAUAUAUUUAUAAUAAUGUAAUUGUAUCAUUGAUUUCUUUAUUUGGCUGGGGCGAUUUUGGAAUUUUAAUAACUUUCAAUUAUAUAUUUCAUAUAUUAAUGUUUAUUUUGAUCCGUUAUUAAUGAUUAAAAGAACAAGUUACCUUAGGGAUAACAGCGUAAUUCUUUCUAAGAGAUCUUAUCAAAGAAAAAGAUUGCGACCUCGAUGUUGGAUUAAAAUUAGUAUUAGGCGUAGUAGUUUAGUAACUAGGUCUGUUCGACCUUUAAUUUUUUACAUGAUCU